GACCUCUCCUUCCCCAGACAACUGCUCUUCCACUUGGCUUCAGGCAUCUCCAGGAUUCCCACCAACCUCCAGCCAUGAAGAUCUUCUGCCUCCUCUCUCUCGCCUUCCUCCUCCUGAUGCUGGUGGCUCCAGAUUUCACCGGAGCUCAACGUCCCACCCAGGAUUGCCAGAACAAUGGGGGCAGCUGCAGAAAAACCUGCAACAAAGGCGAGAAAGAGAUUGGGAAGUGUUCGGGAGACAGGCGUUGCUGCAAGCGCAGCUAAGCAGACCCAUCAUGCACCAUCUCUGACGAAAGGAAGACCACCCCGUUUCUUCUCUGGAGAUGCAGCUGCCUUGACUGCACCUCUGCAGAAAUCUCUUUGCUCACUGCUGCUACUGCUGAAGGCGCUUCUGGGAAGGAUCCAUCCCUGCCCAAUCCUUUCUGCCCGUUUACUCCAAAGCAGGUCCUGCUGUGCUCAGUGAGGCUGGCAUCUUUGUAACUGGGUUUGGAUUGGAUUCGCCUGCUCAUUUGCUUUAGCUUUUCCUUUCAAUAAAUGCAAGCAUUGGAAA